CUAGGAUUUCGGGCACCGGCGUUCAUUCGGUGUGGAGUUGCACCCGGACGGAGAAGAGUCGAGAAGAGUCACUCGUGGAACGCUGGGGAGAUUGUUCUCGGACCAACGGCGUGAGUACUACUGCUAACUGGCAAGCAUGUUUGGGGGUCGUUAAUGUGGACCACUUGGACGGCGUGAAGACCCUUGUCUUCAGACAGCUGUUUUGGCCGAGCCAUGAUGCACAUCAGACAAUGCUUCUCAUCAAGACAAUUCUUACCAGAUACCAGGCCGUUUUUGCGCUGAAAAUGAAGACGAAGACUUCACAAAGUGCUGAUCCAGGUGGCAGCAUAUUGCUACAGAUAGACCAUGGAGGCCCAGUUUUUUUCUGUGAAUACUCUAGUUUUUGACGGCGCUAGACGUCCAAUCUACUCAAAAUGAAUUGGAUGAAUGCAGCAUAGUGCGCUAACAUAGACAUUAUGAAGGUAAUUCAUACCCUUUUUCCGGGUUUGCCGAUAGGAUAGUAUCCCUCUGUGAAACUCCAUUGAAUUUAUAUGAACAAGGAAAAAACAUUCAAUUUCAAACGAUUUAAUGAAGAAUAAUAUUAUUUACGACAAGGCAAAAUUGUUUUUCUAAAAAUAUUCAUAUUUCUAAUUUAACUAUAAACAUUUCUAAAUUAGGUGGGAAUGGAAGCCAAGUAACGCUAAUAAUGCUGGCAACCUACUCUACCUGUGCGUAAAGCCUCACUUCGUUAUGCAUUUCUUUUUAAUACAGGGUAUCUGAGGGGUCUUACAAAGCUAAAAAAAUUCUUAAAUCCAAUCAUUUUAAUUGAACUUUAACUUAAAAUGUCUAAAACUGUCCUAAAAUCACAUAAAAGGUCUUAAAUACUACUGUAAAAGAUGUUGAAAAUCUAUUGACUUUACUUUUAUUGAGAACCCGCAUAAACUUUUUAACAUAAACAGUUUCGCUUUUAAGUGUUUCGAUUUUUGGGGAUGCUUUAACGUAACUGCAAAGCAGAACUAUCUGUGUACCUUUGUGUCAUUUUCAAUUAAUUAUAACCCUGGAUGUCCUAAACUGUAAGUAAAAAAAGUUGUGCGAGAGUUUAAGAGGCUCGCCAUUAGCAUUAGCCUAAUAAUAACGUGAAGGCAAAUGCUAUGCUACUGCUGCGAGUUACAUUAAAUGUGUGAUGAUCACUCAGCACAGACCUUUUGUAGGGAACCACGGACAGAAAGACUUGUAGUUCUUAAAAGAUAAAUGUUAGUAUGAGUUAUAAUAAUUUGAUAUUCAAACCCCUCUUAAUUUUUUUGUUUUUAUAAAAUUUGAAAAAUUAGUUUAACUGGUUGUUCGCCAUUGUUGUUGAAGACACAAUGCACUCUCGGCAGCGCUGCCGUGCUUCCGCAGUGUCACUCGUUAGUUACAUAAACAUGUCGUCGGUUCUGCCGUUUCAAUUUAAAACCCGAGCGGAAAAGUGACUGUCGAUAUUUCACAAAACGAUCAGCAAAAGCAAUUAAAUGAAGGUCUCCAGCGGGAUUCGAACUGUGUUUCGUGUUUGCGUAAACCACAAGACUAUACUUGUGCGUGACGUUAGAGUCACGAUUUUCCUUAUAUAGCAAUCGAAACCCACAUUCAUUGUCGGUCUGUGUGGUAAAAACUGAAAAGGAAACAACUGAAAAGAACGUGCAGCUGGCUUGACCACAGAAUAGCAAAAUGCAGCUCACUUCAGACAGCAGACAAACAACAAUAACAUAGGGAUUGCGUAAAAAGGUUUAUUGAAAACACGCGAAAAGGCAGACACAAAAAAGGGUCCGUGACAGUAGGUCAGGAUAAAUUUAAAAAAAAUAAAAUCAGAGGGAAAACCACAGUGAGAGGCAGACAAACGAAAAAAACAAGGCAAUGAUGCAACGAGCAACGAAAGGAUAUACAAACUGUCAAAUGGCAGCAAGUCAGUAUCUCGGCAAGCCGCCUAGGAUCGGUUUAAAGACAGUGCUGAUGAGCUGGAAUUGGAUGCAGGCACGACAUAGAGAACUCAUCCCAUACCUCGGUCAUAAAACAGUCUGACCAGAAGCAGACUGUAACAAAAUCAUGCCAGUCGUCAUACUAGCUUCAAUCAUGGCGCCCUCUGUAGGUCAAAACAUGUACAUUUAGAUUUUUAAAUCAUUGGCAAUAAUAUAUGUUUCUAAUAACAUAUUUUAGUAAAAGAGAACAAUAUUGGCUUAUUAGAGCCUACAAGUCUUUAUGUCCAAGGUUCCCUUUAAAGGCUAACAAAAUAUUUCAAAUUUUCUUCGGCCAAGAAACCUAAUCUUACCAUGUGUGCAAGCCUGGAGAUGACACACUGGUGAGUCUAAGCACGGAAACUAUAGUGCAUUUUCAUCUAAUCAUUGUCUAGUCAGGCAAAAACUGGCAUUCGUCUCACUAUGUUUUAGUCUCCCAAAACACGUUUUAAAUCGUCAUCGUCAUGACAGGCAGGAAGAAGGGUGUGUUUGGGAUUAUCGUCUGUGUGUGGAUUGGACAGGAGGAUUCGGGAGUUACUGUUGUCCGGGCAACAAGGGUCGUGGAUUUUGCCACCUCAGCGUCAAAGGGGCUCAUGGAGUCUUGUCAGUCGUGUUAUCAGUCGGAUAUCGGGUGUUCUCCUGUGUUCUUUGUGUUAGGACAGACUGUCCCGCCAUUUGUUGUGGACUGUCCGGGAGAACUGAUUGCUCAGUUAGUUUGUAUGACGCCCGCGGUGGGCUUCCGUGAUAAGAAGGCGUUGUUUAUCUCUUAUGCCCUAUAUUCUGCUUGUUUUCCUUAAACUGGGGGUCCCCAAACUACGGGCCCACCUCCACAUUUGUUCCAUCCCCCUGAACAGUUUUUUGUUUUUUUUUUUCCCAAUAGUGUUAUUUAUUUCCUGGCUUUUUUCUGUGAAGAACCCAGAGAGGGUUAUUUGGUUAUUAUCUAUUUAUUUAUUACUAUUUAUUAUUAUAUUACAUUACAUUACAUUACAUUAUAUUAUCUUAGGGCUGUCAAACGAUUACAAUUUUUAAUCGAGUUAAUUACAUCUUAAAAAUUAAUUAAUCGUAAUUAAUCGCAAUUCAAACUUAUCUAUAAAACCUAUCUAUAAAAUAUGCCAUAUUUUUCUGUAAAUUAUUGUUGGAAUGGAAAGAUAAGACACAAGAAGGAUAUAUACGUUCAACAUACGGUACAUAAGUACUGUAUUUGUUUAUUAUAACAAUAAAUCAACAAGAUGGCAAUAUCAUUAUUAACAUUCUCUUAAAGCGAUCCAUGGAUAGAAAGACUUGUAGUUCUUAAAAGAUAAGUGUUAUUACAAGUUAUAGAAAUUUUACAUUAAAACCCCCCUUAAUGUUUUCGUUUUAUUAAAAUUUGUAAAAAUUUCAAUCAAAAAAUAAACUAGCAGCUCGCCAUUGUUGAUGUCAAUAAUUACACCAUGCUCACUCCCCAAACCCAUGAAAUCAUUUGAACCCAAGCGCCAGCAAAGUGCGCCAAACACCAAAAAACAAGUAACAAGCGGACAUUACACUGCUGUCAUUUUAAUCUGUUUGAGCGGGGCAUGUGCGUUAAUUGCGUCAAAUAUUUUAACGUGAUUAAUUAAAAAAAUUAAUUACCGCCCGUUAACAUGAUAAUUUUUACAGCCCUACUAUAUUAUAUCACAGCUCCACAUUUGGUCCGGCCCCCUGAACAUUUUUUUUUUCCCAAUAGUGUUAUUUAUUUCCUGGCAUUUUUCUGUUAAGAACUCAGAGAGGGUUAUUUUUAUUAUUAUUAAUAAAUUAUUAUUUUCAUUAUUAUUAUUAAUAGUGUUAUUACUAGGGCUGCAGCUAUCGAAUAUUUUAGUAAUCGAGUAAUCGACUGAAAAUUCUGUCGAGUAAUCGGAUAAAACAAAUAUAUUUUUAGGUGAAGAGCAAUUAUAAAUAUACAUGAGAAAACAAGACAUUUCAUCUAAUCUUGAACCAUUUUCAGUCAGUCAAUGUCUUUAUUUUCGAUGUAUAUUGUUGAAAACAGCCAACAAUUGUAUCUCAGAUGUAACUAGAAUUAAAAAAAAAAGACUAAUUCACUGCUUUCACUCAAAAAACCUUUAGAUCUUAUUUAAAAAAAUAUAUAUUUAUAUAUAUACCUAAAAAUGCUGUUACGCGUGAUAACACACAUCACUUAAAAGUUAGGAUUUUUUUCCCCACGUUUCAAUUGAAUUUCUAUUUGUGACAAGCCAUUUUUAAGUUCUAGUUAAGUUUUAAGUUAGUCUAAACUGUAAGUCCUGAUAGGAUUUUGAGUUUUUGCAGUGUUCAAAAUAAAUGCAUGAUACAGGCUGUAUUGGAGCACAUUAGGGACCAGUGCUACUUGGUGUUUUAUCCAGCAAUGACUACUGAGCUAAAAUUGAUAGUUAGCAUUAUUGAGUUUUUAUUUUACACCCUCAUCACUCCACAUCGCUAUGUUAUGUUAAAGCCUGUAUGUAAGACACGUUAGCCACGCAUCGACAAUGGUCAUAAUUAAUAGAAACCUAGCCCUCCGCAGGGCUAACAUUACGUGAGCUAGUAACAGUAACGUUAAUCUUAUUUAUUAGUGCUUAGCGCUCUUUAUUAGCACUUAGCGUUCUACUGCUUUAAGAUGGCGGCUGUUUACUAACGCUGCCCAGACGCGGCCGAGUCUGUCAUUUCGCAUCUAGUUCAACAUACAUGUGAUCUCUAUGAGACUCAUCAGACGCUACCUGCUACCAACGUACCAUCGUGCGGGCUAGUAUUUAGCAACGUCGGUGUCGUUUGUAGCGGCUGUCGGCUGCAGUAAAUUUUUUUUUUUUUUUUUUUUUUUUUUUGCUUCUUCCUCUACGCACGUGACAUCAGCGCGUUGUCCCGCAUUAAAAGUAGUCCGAGCAAAACGUGAUGCUUAGAGCUGUCAAAAUAAGCGAUUAUUCGAGGUGAAUAAAAUUACUCGGAUCAGUUUUUAAACUCGAGUUGCUCGAGUAUUCGUUUCAGCUCUAGUUAUUAUUAUAUGAUAUGAUAUUUAUAUGAUAUUUAUGUUAUAUUAUAUUAUAUUAUAUACUUUUGUUCCGUGAAGAAUCCAGAAAGGGUUAUUUGAUUAUGGCUUUCUGAAAAACAAUAAAUUUUUACAUUUAGGCAGUCCUGCAAUCGUCACACUUUUUCUGUUACAAACCGACCCAGCCCCUCAUCAGAAAAGGGAAAAGUUAUGUGGCCCUCACAGGAAAAAGUUUGGGGACCCCUGCCUCAAACUAUGGUAUGAAUGCUAUUUAUUUUAUAUUGGGUGUGUUAGAGUAAUACAAACAGUUAAACAGUAAAUACGAGAAAUGAUACUAUUCCCUGAUUGAUUAUAUUAAGUGUGUCAGAAUAAUGCAAACAGUUAUACGGUGCCUUCGAGAAAAGGUACUACAGUGGUGAGAACAAGUAUUUGAUACACUGCCAAUGGGUUUUCCCAUUGACAGUGUAUCAAAUACUUGUUCUCCCCACUGUAUCUCCUUCACAGUUCACUAAAUUUUAUUGAUCAAGAGUCAGACAAACAAGAAUCGUAUUCAUGUUAAAUUGUACCUUUGGAAUUGAAAUUACUUUUGUUGGAUUAUGAAUCAGUGCACACAGUCACCGUUGAAAAAAUACUGAAGAUACUCUCCUAUCGCUAACCCGGAAAUCAUGCUGAAGUUGAGUGACAUCACUGUGAAUAGGGCUUAUUCUAAUGGAGGAUUUUGGUAGCAACCUGUUGGUAAAGUAUCAAGAUAUAUUGUCACACCCCUAAUCUAAGCUGACAUUCCAAGUGAACGCACGAGUCAUAACCCGCCGGUCCCCUGCGGACGAAGCCACAUCCUGUUCGGCUUCGCCGUCAACGCUUGCCUCGGAGAACAUUCAACGCUGUCGGUGAGUUUGGUAUGGAAGCAUAGAAACCAUCGACCGUUGACUGUGCCCCGAGGUUCGCCCCGACAACGUCAGCCGAGAGCGAAGAAUGAGCGGGCGCAUGCAAAUCCCCGAGCGCUUACCCCAAUCUACACAAGAGUCACACUGUGGUUCCGACCCGAAAGGUCACAAUCAACAUUCAUUGCUGUCGCUGGGUUGGACUGUGUAGAAAAGCUCACUGAACAAUGAGUGCAACUGUGGCCCAGAUCUCCCUUCACUUCAGUCUCGGCCAAUCAGCCCAACCGGAUGUGAAAAGCUGUGAUUUCUUUCUUUAUUUCCUUCUUGUUUUUCACUUCUAUAUUCUUCUGCCGGAGAGUCUCAGAGAGCAGGACAGAUAGCGACACAAAUAGACCGCUGGCUGCUCGCUUGUCCUCAUCCACCUCUCGUGUAAUUGGCGGUUCUGUGCGCAGCAAAGGGGAAGGAAGCCGAGUGAAUGUGUAAUCAUUUGGAGCCUCUUCUCCUUCAGAUGUUGCAUCCCUCUCUUUUUUGUUCGCCUAAUUAUAGAGCGCGCUCGCUUAACUCCAUGCUAACCGCCUGUCUUGUGUGGCAGUAAUGGACCAGAGGAACAAAUAAACGCUAGAAUUAGUCGAGUUUGGAAGACGGUCUUUCCGGUUUUUAACAGGGUUGUUUUGGAUCUUUUUUUGUGUGCUUGACUUUUGUCAAGCAUACAUUGUUUGUCUAUACGUUGUUUUGUUUUUUUUUCUUUUAGCUUAAAUGUUUUCACAGAGCACAGAGCUGCCAGUGUUAGUGCAACAUUUCUACCUGGGUUUUCUCAUUUUAACAUAUUGCCAGCUUGUUUUAGCGUAUAAACAUCUUGUUUUAACGUAUGGAUAACCUCGUUUUAACGUAUUGCUAACCUUGUUUUAACGUAUGGCUAACCUCGUUUUAACGUAUUGCUAACCUUGUUUUAACGUAUUGCUAACCUCGUUUUAACGUAGUGUUAAAUCGUUUUAACGUAGUGCUAAAUCGUUUUAACGUAGUGCUAACUUCGUUUUAACGUAGUGCUCACCUCGUUUUAACGUAGUGCUCACCUCGUUUUAACGUAGUGCCAACUUCGUUUUAACGUAGUGCUAACCUGGUUUUAUCGUAGAGCUAACCUCGUUUUAACGUAUUGCUAACUUCAUUUUAACGUGGUGCUUACAUCGUUUUAACGUGGUGCUAACAUCGUUUUAACGUAGUGCUAACAUCGUUUUAACGUAGUGCUAACCUCGUUUUAACGUAUUGCAAACCUCCUUUUAAUGUAUUGCUAACUUUGUUUUAACCUAGUGCUAACUUGGUUUUAACGUAGAGCUAACCACGUUUUGACGUAUUGCAAACUUUGUUUUAACGUAGUGCUAACCUUGUUUUACGUAGCGCUAACCUCGUUUUAACGUAUUGCAAACCUCAUUUUAACGUAGUGGUAAUCUCGUUUUAACGGAUUGCUAAUCUCGUUUUAACGUAGUGCUAACCUCGUUUAAAUGUAUUGCGAACUUCAUUUUAACAGAUUGCUAACCUCGUUUUAACAUAGUGAUAAUUUCGUUUUAGCCUAGUGCUAACCUGGUUUUAACGUAGUGCUAACCUUGUAUUAACAUAUUGCUAACUUUGUUUUAACGUAACGCUAACGUCUUUUUAACGUAGCACUAACCUAGUUUCAACGUAGCGCUGACCUUUUUUUAACGACGCGCUAACCUCAUUUUAACAUAUUGCUAACCUCGUUUUAACGUAUCGCUAACCUUGUGUUAACGUAGUGCUAACUUUAUUUUAACCUAUUGCUAACCUCGUUUUAUCGCAUUAACACCUCGGUUUAAUGUAUUGCGAACCUCGUUUUGACGUAUUGCUAACUUCGUUUUUAACACAUUGCUAACCUCGUUUUAACGUAGUGCUAACCUCGUUUUAACGUAGUGCUCACUUUGAUUUAACGUAUUGCUAACCUCGUUUAAACGUAUUAACAUAUUCUUUUAACAUAUUGCUAACCGCAUUUUAACGAAUUGCUAACCUUGCGAACCUAACCUAGCGAAAGCUAAAUGCUAACAACAUUACCUUUUCCAAUAGUUCAGGGUUUAGGAUAAGGCUGUUCGAUUAAUCAAUUUUGAACCGAAACUGACUUUUCUGGUUAAAACAAUGUUAAACAUGUUCAAAUCGGUACGUUCAACUUAAAUUUCCAUUCAUUCAUUCAUUUUCCAUGCCGCUUUCCCCCAAUUUUUUUUGAAAUACUUGUGUAAAAUUUUGUUAAAGCACAUCCUUGAAAGCUCAAUAAGAAAUGCGAAUUUUUGAAUCUGAAUACUGGACGAUUCCGUUUUUCAAGGCAAACUUACUCAUACUUGGAACCUUCAGCUGGCUCCGAAUUUUGUCCAGUGUCCAGUUCUUAGUUAUCAUCUUUUCUUUUCACGCUGUCAUUAUUUUAGUUUUGCUAGCGGCUAAUGCUACUGUAACUUCCAGGUGCACCUGACACGUCACUUAACAAAGUAAUUAGCGAACUGUUGCCACCUGCUGAUAAGGGAGAAUAUUACAUGAUUUCAAACCAUUGAACAGCACAUUUAUUGAUUCGUUUUUUGUUUUUUUUAAACUGAGUAAUUAGGUGAAAGUGGAUUAUUUCCUCCGGAAUACCAGACAGUAGAGGUUGAAAAAUACUGAGGUAAUGCAACAACAUUAGCAUAUUACGCAGAAACCAAUAAAAGCAUAGACAAGAACAGACAUGAAUUUAGUCCAACAUGAAUUGUAAAUCCCUUUAUGUUGUUGUGUUUACAGCAUUCUACUCCCUACCCUCAAUAAAAAUGCGCCCACAACCCAUUUUGGGCCUCUAAAAAGUUGGAGAAACCUCUUUUUAAACAAGCCUUUCCCUGCAAUGUAUUUGUUCUCUUUUGAAAUAAAGUCUAACCUACAACAAAUUGUGACUAUUUUUUAUUUGUACACGACUUCUCUAAUGGUAUGUGCCAUCAAACGAGCCAUAACGUCCACGGCCCUCUCUCGCCAGUCGCUCUGUAUUAUUCAUCAAAAAGCACUCUGUGCGCUGGUGCAGAAGAGUGGAGGUGAUGUAACCGUGGCUGAGAGCGUGCCUUCGGUCUGUCAUUUGGGAUGGAUCCGUGCGACAGGCGAAAAAUGUUUGUUCAGCUCUGACGGCGGGGCCAGUAGCCACGAGGACAGUGAUAAUGAUGGCGUGAUUUGACAUUAAUAACACCAUGUUUAGCUUCAACAACUUCGAGUUUUCGCCUCAGCUUGAAGAUGAUUAGGAGAAAUGCAAAAAAAUAUUGAUGGUAAAGCAAAUCUAAAUAGGUCACACGCACAUUUUCACAAGACGCCUCACGUGUGUCACCACAGCACCAUCUAAUGGUGAAGAUAGGUACAUCACAAAGCAAGAAAAUAAUUUGAGCAGCAGUAAAACACAGUUUAAAGUUAAAAUACAGGUCAUAACAUUGUAGAAGAUUAAAUGAAUUGCUCGAAUGACACUUAUUAAAUCUGUACAUGUUUGGCUAAAGUUAAGAAUUCUAAAGUUGCUUUAGAAAUUAACUUUUUAUAUUGACCACACUGUUUUUUUUCCCCACAGUAACUCUAAAUAUAAAGGGUACCACGGAUAGAAGGACAUGUAGUUCUUAAAAGAUGAUUAGAUAAAAGAUAAAAAAUGAAUUACGCCACAGUGAAAAAUUUGGCGUCUGUAAAAAAAGUCACGGAUAUCUACCUCAUAACUAUCACUUAAUUGAUUACGUCAUUUUCAAAGUAUCGGAAUCGGCAAAAAAAAUAUCGGACAUGCCUUUUUUAAAUAUAUAUACAGUAUAUUUUUUAAUUAAAUCGUUUUCUAAUUGUAUUUAACGUUACAGACAUAAUGUAUUACACUCUUCCAGAGUCUUUAGUUUAAGCUUAAGGUAGGGUUAUCAAAUUUAUCGCGUUAAUUGCGAGAAUGAAUAUUUUUUUACAUUUAUCACGUUACAAUAUUUAACGCAACUAAUGCAUGCGCUCCACGACCCACUCACGCAUUGUCGCGUUCAAUCUAUAAUAGUACCGUUUUACCCAUACAGUAUAUAGAGCUAAAGACAGCGUAAGAUGAGGAGAGAGAAUUUUGGCAGCCUUUGGAGAUUUUUUUAAAUGGCUACAGCCUUACAAUCCCUCUCCAAACGAUAAGAAUAAUCGUGGGAAGCAAUGUGGGGAAGAAAGGUAGAAGAUGAUCUUUUUCUUAACACCCUACUGUAUAUUAUUUCCCAACGCAGAAAGAUAUAUCAAUUGGUACCACGACGCACAGUCAUGGUUGCACUUCCCAUCAUGCAUUUGGGAAGUAGUUAAAUGGCUACAGUAUCAUUUACUGAAAGCUCAACAAAUGCACUAGAUGGCACUAUUUAGUCACAAUAUACAAAGUCACAUUUAUCAUUUAAGAAUUACAAGUCUUUUUAUCCGUGGAUCCCUCUCACAGAAAGAAUGUUAAUAAUGUAAAUGCCAUAUUGAGGAUUUAUUGUCAUAAUAAACAAAUACAGUACUUAUGUACUGUAUGUUGAAUGUAAAUAUUCGUCCGAGUUUUAUUCAUUUUUUUCUUAAUGCAUUGCCAAAAUGUAUAUGAUUGGGAAAAAUUAUCGGGAAUGAUUGGAAUUGAAUCGGGAGCAAAAAAAAGCAAUCGGAUCGGGAAAUAUCGGGAUCAGCAGAUACUCAAACUAAAACGAUCGGGAUCAGAUCGGGAGAAAAAAACAUGAUCGGAACAACCCUACUUAAUUGUUUUUUUUUUGUUUUUUGUUUUUUUUUUGUUACUGUUGUAUUUCCCCCGAUAUGUUGGAUGAUAAAUAAUUGAUCCAAACAAAGUAAAACUGAAAAAUAACAUUUAAAAGGGUAAAUAUAUGAAAAAGAACAUCUCGACCACUCCUUGUUGUCUGCGAUUUCUGCAUCACGACCCUUGUUAUAUCACCAUGUUUCACCCAUCAAAUCCCCCCAAAAAUCCGGCUGUGGCCAUGCACAGUUGUGUCUUGACACUCGGUGAUACAUGCUACAUGGAGUUUUUUGAUCAAAACAAGGUUAGUGCGCGGUA